rnacentral:lncRNA from 1 species
UGGAAACCAAUUAUUAAUUGUUAGUGGUAUUAUUUUGGAGGAAGGGAGUGCUGGAGAUGCAAGGAAGAGUUGAGAACAGACGUGAGGCCACUUACACGGACACUAAGGUUUUUUAAUUUUUUUCUUUCAGUUUUUUUUAACUAUAUUUUUUUCAAAGGAUUAUUGAAAAGAGAAUAAAUUCAAAAUAUAAUACACAAGACAACAUUCAUUAAUUAAUAGGACACAUCAGUUGCCACAUACGGUGGUCAGCUAAGGUGGUCAAUGUUGUGUGUCUAAAUAACAUUACUAAAAAAAAUGGUAUUUCACUCAUUUAUUUCUUUUUUGAAGAUGAAUAUGGG